AUUGAACGCUGGCGGCAUGCUUUACACAUGCAAGUCGAACGGUAACAGGCCGCAAGGUGCUGACGAGUGGCGAACGGGUGAGUAAUGCAUCGGAACGUGCCCAGUCGUGGGGGAUAACUACUCGAAAGAGUAGCUAAUACCGCAUACGAUCUAUGGAUGAAAGCGGGGGACCGUAAGGCCUCGCGCGAUUGGAGCGGCCGAUGUCAGAUUAGGUAGUUGGUGGGGUAAAGGCUCACCAAGCCAACGAUCUGUAGCUGGUCUGAGAGGACGACCAGCCACACCGGGACUGAGACACGGCCCAGACUCCUACGGGAGGCAGCAGAGGGGAAUUUUGGACAAUGGGCGCAAGCCUGAUCCAGCAAUGCCGCGUGCAGGAAGAAGGCCUUCGGGUUGUAAACUGCUUUUGUACGGAACGAAACGGCUCUGGUUAAUACCCGGGGCUAAUGACGGUACCGUAAGAAUAAGCACCGGCUAACUACGUG
rnacentral:rRNA from 1 species